UUUCAGAUAAAUGGAGAAUUCAGAGUCGAACCAUCCUAGACCUAAAAAAGGAAAGAAAAACUCAAAGAAUUUGAAACAAAAUUCUAAUAACGAGGCAACUAGGAGCAUGACCCCUCAGAUGGCUCAUGAAUUUGAAGAGCUCUUCGAACACACACACUGCCAAAUUGAGAGCCAUCCCCACCGCUAUCUCAACAUCUAUAACCCCACCCUACGUGAACUUCUUUUCUUACUCCGAUUGAUUUUUCUACACUAAGUGGGAAACACCACCACUAUUUUGUUUGGGGAGCCUCUGCCUCUGUUAGCAACUUUGUUUGGGACCCCCUUUUUAGCAUCACCACCUGCUCCAUCAUGUAGAAUGAAGCAGAAAUAAAUUAAUAAACAUGAAUGCUGUA